AUUGAACGCUGGCGGCAUGCCUUACACAUGCAAGUCGAACGGCAGCACGGGAGCAAUCCUGGUGGCGAGUGGCGAACGGGUGAGUAAUACAUCGGAACGUGCCCAAUCGUGGGGGAUAACGCAGCGAAAGCUGUGCUAAUACCGCAUACGAUCUACGGAUGAAAGCAGGGGACCGCAAGGCCUUGCGCGAAUGGAGCGGCCGAUGGCAGAUUAGGUAGUUGGUGAGGGAAAGGCUCACCAAGCCUUCGAUCUGUAGCUGGUCUGAGAGGACGACCAGCCACACUGGGACUGAGACACGGCCCAGACUCCUACGGGGGGCAGCAGUGGGGAAUUUUGGACAAUGGGCGAAAGCCUGAUCCAGCAAUGCCGCGUGCAGGAUGAAGGCCUUCGGGUUGUAAACUGCUUUUGUACGGAACGAAACGGUUCUUUCUAAUAAAGAGAGCUAAUGACGGUACCGUAAGAAUAAGCACCGGCUAACUACGUGCCAGCAGCCGCGGUAAUACGUAGGGUGCAAGCGUUAAUCGGAAUUACUGGGCGUAAAGCGUGCGCAGGCGGUUAUGUAAGACAGUUGUGAAAUCCCCGGGCUCAACCUGGGAAUUGCAUUUGUGACUGCAU
rnacentral:rRNA from 1 species